rnacentral:rRNA from 1 species
CCUACGGGUGGCAGCAGUGGGGAAUAUUGCACAAUGGGGGAAACCCUGAUGCAGCGACGCCGCGUGAGGGAAGAAGGAACUCGUGAUGUAAAGCUCUAUCAGCAGGGAAGAAAAUGACGGUACCUGAGCAAGAAGCCCCGGCUAACUACGUGCCAGCAGCCGCGGUAAUACGGAGGGGGCAAGCGUUAUCCGGAUUUACUGGGGGUAAAGGGGGCGUAGACGGCAUUGCAAGUCUGGAGGGAAAGGCGGGGGCUCAACCCCCGGACUGCUCUGGAAACUGUACGGCUGGAGUGAAGGAGAGGUAAGUGGAAUUCCUGGUGUAGCGGUGAAAUGCGUAGAUAUUAGGAGGAACACCAGUGGCGAAGGCAGCUUACUGGACUGUAACUGACGUUGAGGCUCGAAAGCGUGGGGAGCAAACAGGAUUAGAUACCCCAGUAGUC